rnacentral:rRNA from 1 species
UACGUAGGGUGCGAGCGUUAAUCGGGAAUUACUGGGCGUAAAGCGUGCGCAGGCGGUUCGUUAAGACAGAUGUGAAAUCCCCGGGCUUAACCUGGGAACUGCAUUUGUGACUGGCGAGCUAGAGUAUGGCAGAGGGGGGUAGAAUUCCACGUGUAGCAGUGAAAUGCGUAGAGAUGUGGAGGAAUACCGAUGGCGAAGGCAGCCCCCUGGGCCAAUACUGACGCUCAUGGCA